GACGAACGCUGGCGGCGUGCUUAACACAUGCAAGUCGAACGGUAAGGCCCCAGCUUGCUGGGGUACACGAGUGGCGAACGGGUGAGUAACACGUGGGUGACCUGCCCCGCACUUCGGGAUACGCCUGGGAAACUGGGUAUACUACCGGAUAGGACCGCACCGUGAGGGUGUGGUGGAAAGUUAUUCGGUGUGGGAUGGGCCCGCGGCCUAUCAGCUGGUUGGUGGGGUAAUGGCCUACCAAGGCGGCGACGGGUAGCAGGCCUGAGAGGGUGGACGGCCACAGUGGCACUGAGACACGGCCGAGACUCCUACGGGAGGCAGCAGUGGGGAAUAUUGCACAAUGGGCGGAAGCCUGAUGCAGCGACGCCGCGUGGGGGAUGACGGCCUUCGGGUUGUAAACUCCUUUCACCAUCGACGAAGGUUUUCUGACGGUAGAUGGAGAAGAAGCACCGGCUAACUACGUG
rnacentral:rRNA from 1 species